GGACGAACGCUGGCGGCGUGCUUAACACAUGCAAGUCGAGCGGUAAGGCCCUUCGGGGUACACGAGCGGCGAACGGGUGAGUAACACGUGGGUGAUCUGCCUCGUACUUCGGGAUAAGCCUGGGAAACUGGGUCUAAUACCGGAUAUGACCACAGGAUGCAUGUCUUGKGGUGGAAAGAUUUAUCGGUACGAGAUGGGCCCGCGGCCUAUCAGCUUGUUGGUGGGGUAAUGGCCUACCAAGGCGACGACGGGUAGCCGGCCUGAGAGGGCGACCGGCCACACUGGGACUGAGACACGGCCCAGACUCCUACGGGAGGCAGCAGUGGGGAAUAUUGCACAAUGGGCGAAAGCCUGAUGCAGCGACGCCGCGUGAGGGAUGACGGCCUUCGGGUUGUAAACCUCUUUCGACAGGGACGAAGCGCAAGUGACGGUACCUGUAGAAGAAGCACCGGCCAACUAC
rnacentral:rRNA from 1 species